CUGCCUAUUUCUUCCUUAGCUAACCUGCUGCCAAAUCUCACGUUUCCCUUUCAGAUUGUUCUCUGAAACAUCCUUCCUCUCUCUGAUCCUGAGACCACGGUAGAGACUUUUGACAUUUCCCAUUUUCCUGCUUUUCUCUCUGGUUUCUUCAGUGUCCUGGCAAUACUGCUGCUGAAAAUGCCUCUUGGCAUCCAGUUUUGUCAUUCCUUUACAUUCCAUGUCAGAUCCAGGCUUCUCAAUUUCAGCUUCAGAACUCCACAUCUCCCCUAUACUUAAAUAUCAGGCAUUAGUUCGGCCUACAGUGCAGUUUGAGUUCUCCAUUCCAAAUGCUGUUUCUGAGUCCUUCUCAAAGUGUCCUAUUUUUCAGUGAACUUGCUUUAGUGAUACCAAGGCAGCUCUUGCAUUUCUUUUCCAUGAGCACUCAAACAAUUGAGUUUUCCUGGCAU
rnacentral:lncRNA from 1 species